UAAAGCAAAACAAAAUAAAUAAUAAAAAUAAAAUCAUUAUGAAGAACGCAAGCAAAAACCAUGCCAAAAAGACUGUGUGACGAGCGUCACACAACCUAUCACGGACGUCACACAAAGUGCUUGUGACGCCCGUCAUGCCCCUGUAACGAGCGUAACGCCUUUUGAACAUGUUAACAUUACAAAGCCGUUGGAGACGAACGUUAC
rnacentral:lncRNA from 1 species